ensembl:lncRNA
UCAUUUAGUGUUAUUUGAGUUUCAGCUUAUCAAGCACAGUACAGUGUGUUCAUCACCUGAUGAAGAAUGUCACCUUUGACUAUGGGGUCCACAAGCUCCUCCUACAGCCCCCCCCCCCUUCCCAGCAGCACAAAUAACAACGUGUCAGUGCAAAUGCACACAAUCACACAGGCAAACACAUCGCUGGCCCCUCCUUACCUGCCUGGGUAACAGUCUGCCAUUGACCCUGAAGGGACAUCAUCCUCGAUCGGCUCCAUUACGUGCUGUAAGUGUGUAUUCAUCGUGCCAUUAAAACAAGGUUAUGGACCGUUUGAGGCUGCGCUCUGCUCUCCGUGGGGUUUUAAGACAAUAAAAGCCAAGCUCCCUCCCGUGAUAGCUGGACUACAACUGGCCCUGUGGCUCAGAAGCUUCUGGAAGCACACACUUGGUGGCAUCACCUCUUGUCCGAAUUGCAAGAGCGUUUACCCAACACUGUUCUGUCUUGUCACAAUUGGCGCUCUUUACGUGAAUAGUGCACUGCUUAUGGACCCUGGUCACAAGUGGUGCCCUUUAUAGGGAAUUCGGUGCCAUUUGCCUGUGUGGUUCCAUGGCCAGCCUGUGACCCAUUGCCACCACUCACCUUGUGCCAGGUGGACCUCAGUUCAGAGCCCAGACUGGAGGGUUGGGUGAAGAGGGGAGGCCGACACAAUUUAUGCCAGGUUGAACUCAGUUAAGAGCCCAGACUGGAGGGUUGGGUGAAGAGGGGAGGCCGACACAAUAUAUGCCAGGUGGACCUCAGUUCAGAGCCCAGACUGGAGGGUUGGGUGAAGAGGGGAGGCCGACACAAUUUAUGCCAGGUGGAACUCAGUUAAGAGCCCAGACUGGAGGGUUGGGUGAAGAGGGGAGGCCGACACAAUAUAUGCCAGGUGGACCUCAGUUCUGAGCCCAGACUGGAGUGUUGGGUGGAGAGGGGAGGCCGACACAAUUUCAACAAUGACAUUGAAAGGAAAAACAUUUCCAUAAACUGACAAUACAAAAAAAAAAAGCAUUAUGCCUUUCAUCUCUCUGUUUGGGAAUCGUGGUUCCCUGCCCUCCAUGGUUAAAACAGGAACAUUUGAUUAGGGGAAAUCAAGUAAAUUACUGUUCAAAGUGUAUGCCCAGAAUUGACAACGACUCAUUCAAAAGUGUUUUUGCUGCUAUUUCUGUGUGCAUUGUUGGAAGGAGGUUGUUGUUCCUAGCGAAGCCCUAACAGAGGCUUCGGUUGGCAGCUUUGGGACCAGUUCUUGACUUAAAAGGAUCCUUCUGGGUUGUGAUUUUGGAUUAAUUUCUUAUUUAGCAAGAGUUAGACAAACACACGGACUGAGGAUUAGUGCAGCCUGUGUGCGACCUGAAUCAAGGAUCAGGUUUUGCAGGAUCACUCAGGGUGGAAUUAAUGCAAACCCGCAAAAGCAAUGUUUGUGCAGUGUCUUUAUUUACAAAAUGAGUUCUGUGUGCACACGCAGAUGCCGCCCUGGUUGUGGUAGGUUUUUAUAAAGCACCCAUGUCCAGGAAGUACAUUUAUUUUACCGUUGCAAAAAGAGCUACUGCAUAAAUACCGUAAUGCAUGUUUGAUUGAAUUUAGC